rnacentral:rRNA from 1 species
ACCCACGUUCGGAGUUGUAGGCUGCAACUCGCCUACAUGAAGUCGGAGUUGCUAGUAAUCGCGGAUCAGAAUGCCGCGGUGAAUGCGUUCCCGGGUCUUGUACACACCGCCCGUCACACCAUGGAAGUUGGGGGCGCCCGAAGUUGGUCGAGGAAUAGAUUACCUAAGGCGAAACCAAUGACUGGGGUGAAGUCGUAACAAGGUAAC